rnacentral:rRNA from 1 species
AGCGAACGCUGGCGGCAGGCCUAACACAUGCAAGUCGAACGAAGCCUUCGGGCUUAGUGGCGGACGGGUGAGUAACACGUGGGAACGUACCUUUUGGUUCGGAAAAACUCAGGGAAACUUGAGCUAAUACCGGAUGAGCCCUUAGGGGGAAAGAUUUAUCGCCGAAAGAGCGGCCCGCGUUAGAUUAGCUAGUUGGUGAGGUAAAGGCUCACCAAGGCAACGAUCUAUAGCUGGUCUGAGAGGAUGAUCAGCCACACUGGGACUGAGACACGGCCCAGACUCCUGCGGGAUGCGGCAGUGGGGAAGUUUGCGCAAUGUGCGAAAGCCUGACGCAGCCAUGCCGCGUGAAUGAUGAAGGUCUUAGGAUUGUAAAAUUCUUUUACCAGGGACGAUAAUGACGGUACCUGGAGAAAAAGCCCCGGCUAACUUCGUGCCAGCCGCCGCGGUAAUAC